UAGACCGCCUGGGGAGUACGGCCGCAAGGUUAAAACUCAAAUGAAUUGACGGGGGCCCGCACAAGCGGUGGAGCAUGUGGUUUAAUUCGAUGCAACGCGAAGAACCUUACCUGGUCUUGACAUCCACAGAAGUUUCCAGAGAUGGAUUGGUGCCUUCGGGAACUGUGAGACAGGUGCUGCAUGGCUGUCGUCAGCUCGUGUUGUGAAAUGUUGGGUUAAGUCCCGCAACGAGCGCAACCCUUAUCCUUUGUUGCCAGCGGUUAGGCCGGGAACUCAAAGGAGACUGCCAGUGAUAAACUGGAGGAAGGUGGGGAUGACGUCAAGUCAUCAUGGCCCUUACGACCAGGGCUACACACGUGCUACAAUGGCGCAUACAAAGAGAAGCGACCUCGCGAGAGCAAGCGGACCUCAUAAAGUGCGUCGUAGUCCGGAUUGGAGUCUGCAACUCGACUCCAUGAAGUCGGAAUCGCUAGUAAUCGUGGAUCAGAAUGCCACGGUGAAUACGUUCCCGGGCCUUGUACACACCGCCCGUCACACCAUGGGAGUGGGUUGCAAAAGAAGUAGGUAGCUUAACCUUCGGGAGGGCGCUUACCACUUUGUGAUUCAUGACUGGGGUGAAGUCGUAACAAGGUAACCGUAGGGGAACCUGCGGUUGGAUCACCUCCUUACCUGAAAGAAGC
rnacentral:rRNA from 1 species